GUACACGCUGUGACUAGCAUAUCAAUAAGCGGAGGAAAAGAAACUAACAAGGAUUCCCCUAGUAACGGCGAGUGAAGCGGGAAGAGCUCAAAUUUGAAAUCUUAAAGGGUUUCCCUUUACGAAUUGUAGUUUAAAGAAGUGUUUUCUGUUGAGGUUUUGGUAAAAGUUCUUUGGAACAGGACAUCAUAGAGGGUGAGAAUCCCGUAUUUGACCUUUACUUUCAACUUUGUGAUACACUUUCAAAGAGUCGGAUUGUUUGGGAAUGCAGUCCAAAAUGGGUGGUAAAUUUCAUCUAAAGCUAAAUAUUGGCGAGAGACCGAUAGCGAACAAGUACCGUGAGGGAAAGAUGAAAAGAACUUUGAAAAGAGAGUUAAACAGUACGUGAAAUUGUCAAAAGGGAAGCGUUUGACACCAGUGUUGUUUUUCUGAAAAUCAAUUAAAGAACUGUUUAUGCUAAGUUGUUUAGACUUUAUCAGCUAACUGUUUAGUUUUGAGCUUUUCUUUAAUGCACUUUUCAGUUAACAAGUCAACAUCAAUUUCUUUUGCUGUAAAAAAGCUUGAGGAAGGUGGCUUGAGAUUCGUCUUAAGUGUUUAUAGCCUCUUGCCUAUGCAGUCGGAGAGAUUGAGGUCUGCAGCGUAGAUCCUUCGGGGCUAAAUGCAUUUGUGCUAAGUUAUAGCAUUUUCAUAGACAACUUGUUGACUAUGAUUUGUCUUGUAGCUUACUCGCUUAUGUUAUUUUACCUACGCUUAGGAUGUGACAGCAGUAUAGACUGU
rnacentral:rRNA from 1 species